rnacentral:rRNA from 1 species
AUUGAACGCUGGCGGCAGGCUUAACACAUGCAAGUCGAGCGGAGCGAGGGUGCUUGCACCUUAGCUUAGCGGCGGACGGGUGAGUAAUGCUUAGGAAUCUGCCUAUUAGUGGGGGACAACAUUCCGAAAGGAAUGCUAAUACCGCAUACGCCCUACGGGGGAAAGCAGGGGAUCUUCGGACCUUGCGCUAAUAGAUGAGCCUAAGUCGGAUUAGCUAGUUGGUGGGGUAAAGGCCUACCAAGGCGACGAUCUGUAGCGGGUCUGAGAGGAUGAUCCGCCACACUGGGACUGAGACACGGCCCAGACUCCUACGGGAGGCAGCAGUGGGGAGUAUUGGACAAUGGGCGGAAGCCUGAUCCAGCCAUGCCGCGUGUGUGAAGAAGGCCUUUUGGUUGUAAAGCACUUUAAGCGAGGAGGAGGCUACUUAGAUUAAUACUCUGGGAUAGUGGACGUUACUCGCAGAAUAAGCACCGGCUAACUCUGUGCCAGCAGCCGCCGCAGUAAUAC